UCUUUCUCUCUCCACCCCACCUCACCUCCGACGACGGCUCCGAUAGCUUCUCCAACGAAGGCUCCGAUAACUUCUCCAGCGACAGCUCCAUGUGACUUUUCGACGAUGGUCCGACGACUACACCGGCGAUGGCUCCGACAACGGUUCCGACCUCUCUAGCGAAUAUUCAAACGACCUCUCGACGGGGACCUUCCCGACAAUUUCGACGACCUCUCCAACCGUUUCGAUGACUAUUCCAGUGAUCGCUCACCUUUUCGCUGACUACUUUUUUCUUUUCUCUUCUUUUUUGGCAAUGACACAUGACCA
rnacentral:lncRNA from 1 species